rnacentral:lncRNA from 1 species
AAAUGGAUACACAUUUGCAUCCAGUACCAAACCAACCAGUAAUGCAAGAGAAAUCAAGAAGAAACGGCCUAUCUUAUAUGUUGAAGAAGAAAUCUAAGUCCCCUAGACCGAUGAAGAUCAAGAAGGAAAUGAUCCAAGGUCAAUAAAACUUCGGAAAUGCUUAAUCAAUAACCUAAGGUGGAAACUUAGGCCCCGUUUUUAUUUUUUGACCGUUAUUUCACUAUUUCAACCGUAAUUUUUGAUUUCUUAUCUUACAAGUGGCCGCCACUUUUCUCCCAACGGUCAAAAAAUCAAUUUUCAAAAUCACUACCGAAUAGGCCCUUAAAGAAAUAAGGUCACUUGCCUAAAUUUCUUGCUUUUCAAUUUUAAGGUUAAAAAUAGAAUGUGUUUUUGUUUUCUUUCCUAAGUCCCCGCGAAGCAUGAAUUGAUUGAUUUAUUAUGCCCCUAUUUGCUUCUCAUUCUUUUUUCAUUAAAAUGAAAAAUAUGACCGUUAUCCAUCACAUCAAGCCACCAUAUUUGAAAUUUUAUCUCUUGUG